rnacentral:misc_RNA from 1 species
CUCUCAUUUCUUAGGUAUUCCUUAUUGUCCACAUUUUUCCGUGUCAUACAUUAUUACUUGCUAGCAUUUGAAAAAGGAAAGGAAAAGAGAGAAUAUUCAAUAAAAUGCCAACGGUUUGCAAUCCGAAGAUCGAAUUGAUCUUACAACCGAGAUUUUGCUUGUUCCACUGGAGAACUCAGUGGAGCACCCUUGGCAGCUCUUUCAGCCAAGAAGUCACAGGGCUUGAAGAAUUCUCCAUACAUCUUUGACCACUCCUCCAAUCUUGAAUAUAUAUAUUUUGAUCCAAGAGAAUCAGCCCAGAACAAAAUACCUCCCCUGUAAAAAGGAAAGCCCAUGCCCAUAACAGAAGCAAUGUCAAGGUCUGAAGCUUUAACGGCAAUUCCUUCUGCAAAGACUCGGCAGGCUUCAUUCACUACCGGGAAGAAUGUCAUCUCCACAAUGUCUUUCUCAGGUAACUUAGCAAGCUUGGGGUCAAUGG